rnacentral:rRNA from 1 species
AGUGAACGCUGGCGGUAGGCCUAACACAUGCAAGUCGAACGGCAGCACAGUAAGAGCUUGCUCUUACGGGUGGCGAGUGGCGGACGGGUGAGGAAUACAUCGGAAUCUACUUUUUCGUGGGGGAUAACGUAGGGAAACUUACGCUAAUACCGCAUACGACCUACGGGUGAAAGCAGGGGAUCUUCGGACCUUGCGCGAUUGAAUGAGCCGAUGUCGGAUUAGCUAGUUGGCGGGGUAAAGGCCCACCAAGGCGACGAUCCGUAGCUGGUCUGAGAGGAUGAUCAGCCACACUGGAACUGAGCCACGGUCCAGACGCCUACGGGAGGCAGCAGUGGGGAAUAUUGGACAAUGGGCGGAAGCCUGAUCCAGCCAUACCGCGUGGGUGAAGAAGGCCUUCGGGUUGGAAAGCCCUUUUGUUGGGAAAGAAAAGCAGCAGGUUAAUACCCCGCUGUUCUGACGGUACCCAAAGAAUAAGCACCGGCUAACUUCGUG